CACUGCAUACAUUCGUUUAUUUUUAUGCAUCAAUAUCAAUGCAUUUAGGAAAAUAAUGGUUUGUGGUCUGGUAUUUUCGACCAAGUAGAGACUUUUUUUAAAUGUAUUUUUAUAUCCCGCUCCAGUAGAUGGCAGUGUGUGCAGAUGUAGGCUGUAGAAUGUUUGCGGAAGUGCCACAUUGUUUCCACGAGAUAAGCAAGCAUAGCCAGAUAUUUUUAAACAAAUUAUAUCUGGUCUAGCAGGAGAAUCUUAUUUGGUUCAAUAACAUUGUUAAUUCUGUCUAUCCAUGUUAGCUAGACACCUGGUUGUUGAACACAUUGUGAUAUGUUAAAUGGAUGUAAGUUAGCGGAAAGGAGUAUGCACUAGAUAUCUAAGGCGUUCGGCUCAGUAUACUAGCUAAGGUUACUUUCCAUUGCAUUUGGGUUACCUUUUUAGCUAGAUCUGACCAGGGGGAAAAAAAUCUGCCAGAUUUAGAGUUUUGUUCAAGUAGUGUCUGGUAACCAGUGGUGAGCCUUCAGGUCUCCCUGAUAGCCUCAAAGCUUGGCGCACUGUCACUGAACCACAGUGUUUACAUGCAAUCAGCGAUGCCUGGAUGAAACAGAGGCAGACACACAGGGCCUCGGCCCACAAAGACAGUGGGCGGGAGGAGAGGUUUGAAGAAGAUAUGGGUGAUGUAGGUGACAAGGUCCAGACUGGGGCUCAGUUGAGAAACAGCUAUCCUAAAAACUGAACCAUAGGCAUAGCCUGGUCCCACGUCUGUUUAAGCGAUCAUUCUGACAACCACCGUGAGACAGUUGGUGACGAAAAAACAGAUCUGGGACCACCAGGCUAUUGAAGGGUGCCUAUCCUAAUGUAGGAUACCUGUUACUAUAGCAGAAUGACAUGUUGAUGUGUUGGUUAAAAGCACUGUCACAAUGGUAGCUUACAUGGUACACUAGCCACUUUCACCCAGUCAGUGAUCAGUCCACACUGCAUCUAAGAUGAUAAAUAUGAUAUUAAGUCAUCACUCCACACACUCUAGGCCUAAUGCCUACUGUCACCUUCCCUGUUUUCAGUGAAGGGAGGAGGAGACAGGAUGGUAAAGUACCAUAUAGUCAGGAAACAGCUGACUGAGUCUAAAGCUCCAGAGAGGAGGCUGAGCUGGGACACCAUGUAGUAGAUCAGACUGACCACACCGAUGACUCAAUGACUGCACCCCAGGUAUCUGAAGCAGGAGCUACCAGAGGAAUGGACCGUUGACCAUCUGGCCGAGGGCUUCUCCUUGCAUCGUGACAUCUUCCUCAGAGUCCUCCGGAGCAAGUUCACCCCCACCCCAGAGAGGAAAGCGAAACAGGACUCCAGCGUGUGGGCCAGGCUGAGACAGCAGGCCAUACCUGGAGGUGGGACAGGGUUGGCAACGGGCCCUACCUGGGGAUGGAGGAACAGAGGGACAGGGUAGGCAGCAGGUCUUACCCGGGGGUGGAGGAACAGGGGGACUGGGUAGACAGAUGGGAACGGUGUUAUCAGAGGAAGAACUGGAGGAACUAAUGCGGUCUACAAAGCCCUGGCCUGUGCUACAGAAUGGAAAAUAGUUAAUUUUCUUCUGAGGGAAACUUCCUGUACAGAAUCUGAAGUUGAGAUGUUUAUAGUUUGAAGAUUUCUCUGUAAUGCAGUAAUAUGCAAUCUUUAUUUAAAGAUGACAGACUGAUAAUGUCACAUUAUUUACCAUUCAUCUGUUAAGGUUUUAUUUUACAUUCUUGUAUCAAGUUGGUUUUCUGAACAUUAACAAAAUAAAAUCUACUCUUAUGCAAUAUAUAUAUAUAUGAGCAGAAAAUUUAAAGGAACAAGUUGAUUUAUUAGUCAAUAACCCAAAGCAAAAUCACCUCAAAUAUAUUGAACUACACAGCAGAUACAAAGAUGUAACAAUUCCAGAACUUUCUCACAUUGCAUUAUAACUUUAUACAGCUAUUUUAAAAUGUAAUAAAGAUGUCACCUUUCAAAUCUCAA